CCUACGGGAGGCAGCAGUGAGGAAUAUUGGUCAAUGGACGAGAGUCUGAACCAGCCAAGUAGCGUGAAGGAUGACUGCCCUAUGGGUUGUAAACUUCUUUUAUAAAGGAAUAAAACGAGGCACGUGUGCCGUUUUGCAUGUACUUUAUGAAUAAGGAUCGGCUAACUCCGUGCCAGCAGCCGCGGUAAUACGGAGGAUCCGAGCGUUAUCCGGAUUUAUUGGGGUUAAAGGGAGCGUAGAUGGGUUGUUAAGUCAGUUGUGAAAGUUUGCGGCUCAACCGUAAAAUUGCAAUUGAUACUGGCAGUCUUGAGUACAGUUGAGGUAGGCGGAAUUCGUGGUGUAGCGGUGAAAUGCUUAGAUAUCACGAAGAACCCCGAUUGCGAAGGCAGCUUACUAAACUGUGACUGACAUUGAUGCUCGAAAGUGUGGGUAUCAAACAGGAUUAGAUACCCUAGUAGUC
rnacentral:rRNA from 1 species